rnacentral:tRNA from 1 species
GCUCCAGUGGACUAAUGGGUACAGCAUUGGCCUUCUAAGCCAGGAUUUGUGGGUUUGGGACCCACCUGGAGCA